UUGAAGAGGACUUGGAAC
rnacentral:siRNA from 1 species